GUGCAUUCAAAAGUUAGUUAAGCCAUAGCUUCACCAAAUGUGAAUUUUUAAAUUUCUCAAUUGAGAUGACUGCUUUCUUCUCCACAGCCUUCAACAGAUGGAAGAAGCAGCAAAUGAACACAGUGAGGCAGCAGCACAAGAUCUUGACCAUAGAUGCCACCAGCUGAGACCCAACAGAUUAUUCCUAAGCAUAAGAUCAAUAAGUAGGCUUUGACAAGGUUUGCAAAUAAGUUGAAAGGAAUUGCUCAUCCCUGAACACUGCAGAUCAAAACCAGCCCCGAACAGAAACUAAGUCUGCCUUGCAUCAGCUGCACAGUCCUUGGAAACUUGCUACGUAUAAGCAGAAGCAGCAGCGGAGGGAAAACCAGAGCUUGUGAGGUUUUGACCUAAUGGGCCGCCUCACUCACAGUUCAGAUGUGUGUGAGUGCCGAAGAAGA